GCCCGAGUAGCUCAGCGGAUAGAGCGUCUGCCUCCGGAGCAGAAGGUCGCAGGUUCGAGUCCUGUCUCGGGCACCA
rnacentral:tRNA from 3 species